rnacentral:sRNA from 2 species
CAAACUUUCGCGCCGAAUCCCCGCUAGGGGAGCGGGGGACCCAAAUCUCGGGGUGAAUCCGGCGUCCGCGUCCGUUCCGACCCGUGCCGCGGCGGGGGGCGAGGGGCAGCCAAGGCUCCAGGCCUGAGGUUCCACCGCCGCGGUCCGGGCGACUGCACCGGGGCGGGGUGGCGCCGGUAGGGCGACUGCGGCCGUCCGAACCCGUCAGCUAACCCCGUAGGCGUGGCUGCAGGAGGCG